UAUGGAUUAAACUUUGCCCUCCCAAAUCUGCAUGUUGAAGUUGAACUCAAAAUAUCAAAAUGUGCUCUUUCCAGUAGGGAUAUUGUACCUGUAACUAGAUCAGAAAAGACAAUUUGCUUGUGGCUUUGGAAGACCUUGAGAAGGAGAGCUUGGAUCACAUGAUCUCAGAGGCUGGAGUACCAGCUAUUACACAGAAAUAAAGAAGCACAUUUUAAAGGGCUUGUUAAAUUCCAACGAGCUUUGAAGUCCUGAAUAACAGGAGUCAGAAGGCCAAGCUCAGGCUCAGGCCCUGCUGUGAUUGUGUGACUGUGAUGCUAUCAUUUAGCAUUUGCUGAGGCCUCAUCCUGGCUCAUCCUGGCUCAUCCUGGCUCAUCCUGGGAAGACUUCCGUCCUUUAUCCAGCAGCUCCACCGGAUCUUUGUUAUGGUGAUGAUCUACAGCUGAACUUGCUGUGUGACUUUCUUAAACUCAGUAUACUUUCGCUAAUAUUUUUUCUUAUAUUUAAA